UAGGGAAUCUUCCGCAAUGGACGAAAGUCUGAUGGAGCAACGCCGCGUGAGUGAAGAAGGGUUUCGGCUCGUAAAACUCUGUUGUUAAAGAAGAACAUAUCUGAGAGUAACUGUUCAGGUAUUGACGGUAUUUAACCAGAAAGCCACGGCUAACUACGUGCCGG
rnacentral:rRNA from 1 species